rnacentral:rRNA from 1 species
CUAACACAUGCAAGUCGAACGGACAUAGUAGCAAUACUAUGUUAGUGGCGGACGGGUGAGUAAUGCAUGAGCAACCUGCCUUAUACAGGGGGAUAACACUUAGAAAUGGGUGCUAAUACCGCAUAAUAACCUAUCGAGGCAUCGAGAUAGGAGGAAAGGAGUAAUCCGGUAUAAGAUGGGCUCAUGUUCGAUUAGCUAGUUGGUGAGGUAAAGGCCCACCAAGGCGACGAUCGAUAGCCGAACUGAGAGGUUGAACGGCCACAUUGGAACUGAGAGACGGUCCAGACUCCUACGGGAGGCAGCAGUGGGGGAUAUUGCGCAAUGGGGGGAACCCUGACGCAGCAACGCCGUGUGAAGGAAGAAGGCUUUAGGGUUGUAAACUUCUUUGAUUAGGGACGAAGAUAUGACGGUACCUAAGGAACAAGCCACGGCUAACUACGUGCCAGCAGCCGCGGUAAUACGUAGGUGGCGAGCGUUGUCCGGAAUAACUGGGUGUAAAGGGCGAGUAGGUGGGGCGACAAGUCAGAUGUGAAAUUUAGGGGCUCAACUUCUAAGCUGCAUCUGAAACUAGAGUUCUUGAGUACUGGAGAGGGGAGCGGAAUUCCUAGUGUAGCGGUGAAAUGCGUAGAUAUUAGGAGGAACACCAGUGGCGAAGGCGGCUUUCUGGACAGUAACUGACACUGAGGCGCGAGAGCGUGGGGAGCGAACAGGAUUAGAUACCCCU